GACGAACGCUGGCGGCGUGCUUAACACAUGCAAGUCGAACGAAAAGAGGGAAAGAGCUUGCUCUUUCCGGAAUUGAGUGGCAAACGGGUGAGUAACACGUAAACAACCUGCCUUCAGGAUGGGGACAACAGACGGAAACGACUGCUAAUACCGAAUAAGUUCCAAGAGCCGCAUGGCCCAUGGAAGAAAAGGUGGCCUCUACCUGUAAGCUAUCGCCUGAAGAGGGGUUUGCGUCUGAUUAGCUGGUUGGAGGGGUAACGGCCCACCAAGGCGACGAUCAGUAGCCGGUCUGAGAGGAUGAACGGCCACACUGGAACUGAGACACGGUCCAGACUCCUACGGGAGGAAGCAGUGGGGAAUCUUCCGCAAUGGGCGAAAGCCUGACGGAGCAACGCCGCGUGAGUGAUGACGGCCUUCGGGUUGUAAAACUCUGUGAUCCGGGACGAAAAGGCAGAGUGCGAAGAACAAACUGCAUUGACGGUACCGGAAAAGCAAGCCACGGCUAACUACGUG
rnacentral:rRNA from 1 species